GGGUCGAUGGCGUAGUUGGUUAUCGCAUCUGUCUCACAUUGGAAAUGUGCACAGGAGGUCCUCAGUUCGAGCCUGGGUCGACUCA
rfam:Termitomyces sp. J132 unplaced genomic scaffold scaffold111, whole genome shotgun sequence.